GAUGAAGAACGCAGCGAAAUGCGAUAAGUAGUGUGAAUUGCAGAAUUCAGUGAAUCAUCGAAUCUUUGAACGCACAUUGCGCCCCAUGGUAUUCCGUGGGGCAUGCCUGUUCGAGCGUCAUUUACCCCCUCAAGCUCCGCUUGGUGUUGGGCGUCUGUCCCGCUUCGCGCGCGGACUCGCCCCAAAGGUAUUGGCAGCGGUCGUGCCAGCUUCUCGCGCAGCACAUUGCGCUUCUCGAGGCACCGGUGGGCCCGCGUCCAUCAAGCUCACCCCCCCAGUUUGACCUCGGAUCAGGUAGGGAUACCCGCUGAACUUAAGCAUAUCAUAGCGGAGGA
rnacentral:misc_RNA from 1 species